rnacentral:rRNA from 1 species
CCUACGGGGGGCAGCAGUGGGGGAUAUUGCACAAUGGUGGUAACCCUGAUCCAGCGACGCCGCGUGGGUGAAGAAGCGCCUCGGCGCGUAAAGCCCUGUCAGCAGGGAGGAAAAUGACGGUACCUGAAGAAGAAGCCCCGGCUAACUACGUGCCAGCAGCCGCGGGAAUACGUAGGGGGCAAGCGUUAUCCGGAUUUACUGGGUGUAAAGGGGGCGCAGACGGCGAUGCAAGCCAGUAGUGAAAGCCCGGGGCCCAACCCCGGGACUGCUCUUGGAACUGCGUGGCUGGAGUGCAGGAGGGGCAGGCGGAAUUCCUGGUGUAGCGGUGAAAUGCGUAGAUAUCAGGAGGAACUCCGAUUGCGAAGGCAGCUCACUGGACUGCAACUGACACUGAGGCUCGAAAGUGUGGGUAUCGAACAGGAUUAGAUACCCCUGUAGUC